rnacentral:rRNA from 1 species
CGGGAGGCAGCAGUGGGGAAUCUUGCACAAUGGAGGAAACUCUGAUGCAGCGAUGCCGCGUGAGUGAAGAAGGCCUUUGGGUUGUAAAGCUCUUUCGUCGGGGAAGAAAAUGACUGUACCCGAAGAAUAAGCAUCGGCUAACUCCGUGCCAGCAGCCGCGGUAAGACGGAGGAUGCAAGUGUUAUCCGGAAUCACUGGGCGUAAAGCGUCUGUAGGUGGUUUAAUAAGUCAACUGUUAAAUCCUGCAGCUCAACUUCAAAAUCGCAGUCGAAACUAUUAGACUAGAGUAUAGUAGGGGUAAAGGGAAUUUCCAGUGGAGCGGUGAAAUGCGUAGAGAUUGGAAAGAACACCGAUGGCGAAGGCACUUUACUGGGCUAUUACUGACACUCAGAGACGAAAGCUAGGGUAGCAAAUGGGAUUAGAUACCCCAGUAGUCCUAGCUGUAAACAAUGGAUACUAGAUGUUGAACAGAUCGACCUGUGCAGUAUCAAAGCUAACGCGUUAAGUAUCCCGCCUGGGAAGUAUGCUCGCAAGAGUGAAACUCAAAGGAAUUG